AAUCUGACAAACUAGUAGGUAGAAUUUUGAUACUUAAAUGCUGUAAUGAUCGAAUGAUGCUUUAAGUUUCUGUAUUAUUUAUUCUUAGUUGUAUGUCUUGUAGGAUGCUUUAGGUUUUUGUGUGAUUGGAAAUAGACAUUAUGAAUUUUAAGUUGAAUGAAGUAGUUAGUGUUCCAUUGACAUUUUUUUUAAAUUGAUCAUCUUGUGUUACUUUUUGCAGGAAUCUUGAUAACUCUAAUCUAUCUGGACAUUUGGGGUAUUGCUUGGGGACUGGUGAAACUGUGGCUAUAAAGAAGGUUCUUCAAGACAAGAAUUUGAAGAGGUUUAAAAUCAGUGGAAAGUCAAGGAAAGUUCUUUGGAGACUAGGAAUUCUGGUGGGUUAAUUUCUCGAGCUCAUGCCAAUGCUACUAGAAAUAUUAUGAUGCCAGAAGUCAACUUUUUAGCUCACAGCUCAUGUCCUUCGAGCUCCUUUUUUUGCAUGCCUAUGCUAAUACUUCUCAAAGUAAUAGUUAGUGGAUAUAAUUUGCUUAAUUAUUUGUA